UACGGAGGGUGCGAGCGUUGUCCGGAAUCACUGGGCGUAAAGGGCGCGUAGGCGGCGCGAGUAGUCAACGGUGAAAACCCUGGGCUCAACCCGGGACGUGCAGUCGAUACUGCGAAUCUUGAGUGCCUGAGAGGAUGGCGGAAUUCCCGGUGUAGUAGUGAAAUACGUAGAUAUCGGGAAGAACACCUGAGGCGAAGGCGGCUAUCUGGCGGUGCACUGACGCUGAUGCGCGAAAGCGUGGGGAGCAAACAGG
rnacentral:rRNA from 1 species